GGGAGUGUAGCUCAGUUGGUAGAGUGCUUGCUUGGCAUUCACAGAGCCCUGGGUUCAAACCCCAGCACACACC
rnacentral:tRNA from 1 species